rnacentral:lncRNA from 1 species
GGCUGCCAGCCUCCAAGGACACCUUGAGCCUGGCAAGGAGGGGUCCAACCAUUUCUCAUGUAUGGCCACACACCACUUCCGUUCACAGAGACCCCAGCCACUCCGGGCGCCAGGUGCUGACGUGCCACGUGGGCAUCUAGUAGACACGGAUGCCGCAUGGGGGUCUGGUAGACACGGAUGCCGCGGCGUCUGGUAGACACGGAUGCCGCAU